rnacentral:rRNA from 1 species
GACGAACGCUGGCGGCGUGCCUAAUACAUGCAAGUCGAGCGCAGGAAACUGACGGAACUCUUCGGAGGGAAGGCAGUGGAAUGAGCGGCGGACGGGUGAGUAACACGUAAGGAACCUGCCUCAAGGAUUGGGAUAACUCCGAGAAAUCGGAGCUAAUACCGGAUAGUUCAACGGACCGCAUGGUCCGCUGAUGAAAGGCGCUCCGGCGUCACCUUGAGAUGGCCUUGCGGUGCAUUAGCUAGUUGGUGGGGUAACGGCACACCAAGGCGACGAUGCAUAGCCGAACUGAGAGGGUGAUCGGCCACACUGGGACUGAGACACGGCCCAGACUCCUACGGGAAGCAGCAGUAGGGAAUCUUCCACAAUGGACGAAAGUCUGAUGGAGCAACGCCGCGUGAGUGAUGAAGGUUUUCGGAUCGUAAAACUCUGUUGUAAGGGAAGAACACGUACGAGAGGGAAUGCUCGUACCUUGACGGUACCUUACGAGAAAGCCACGGCUAACUACGUGCCAGCCGCCGCCGUAAAAC